GGUCUGAGGUCUCUGUGGAAGACAGAGCUGUACACUAGAAGAAGAUGAAAGUGCUGGGUCAUCUCCUGUGCCUGGUGAUUGCCACCCAGGAUGUCCUGCCCCAGGUGCAGCUGCAAGAGUGGGGAACAGAACUGUUGAAGCCCUCACAGACAAUCUCCCUCAUCUGUGCUGUGUAUGGUUACUCCAUCACCAGUGGUUACUGCUGGAACUGGAUCCGCCAGCCUCCAGGAAAGGGGCUGGAGUGGAUUGGGUGCAUAUGUAGUGAUGGGAACAGUUACUACAGCCCAUCCCUUAAAAGCCGCACCUCAAUCUCUAGAGACACAUCCAAGAACCAAUUCUCCCUGCAUCUGAGCUCUGUGACCACCGAGGACACAGCUGUGUAUUAUUGCGCCAGAGACACAGUGAGAGGAAGGAAGUAUGAGCCCAGACAUAAACCUCCCAUAAGGAUACGGGAGGGCUGGGCUUCAGGGGAACCUAAGGACACCAGGGGAGGCAGUGGACAACUACAGUGA